rnacentral:rRNA from 1 species
ACGGAAGGCAGCAGUGGGGGAUAUUGCGCAAUGGGGGAAACCCUGACGCAGCAACGCCGCGUGCAGGAAGACGGCCUUCGGGUUGUAAACUGUUGUCGCAAGGGAAGAAACAAAUGACGGUACCUUGUGAGAAAGCCACGGCUAACUACGUGCCAGCAGCCGCGGUAAUACGUAGGUGGCGAGCGUUGUCCGGAUUUACUGGGUGUAAAGGGCGCGUAGGCGGGCUUUCAAGUCAGAUGUGAAAUACCGGAGCUUAACUCCGGAGCUGCAUUUGAAACUGUAAGUCUUGAGUAGCGAAGAGGAAAGCGGAAUUCCUAGUGUAGCGGUGAAAUGCGUAGAUAUUAGGAGGAACACCAGUGGCGAAGGCGGCUUUCUGGACGACAACUGACGCUGAGGCGCGAAAGUGUGGGGAGCAAACAGGAUUAGAUACCCUGGUA